rnacentral:lncRNA from 1 species
CCGCCAUCUCUGAAAUUAUUUUCCGCAGAUGGAUCAUUUGACCAGGAACAUUUUUUAUUGGAAACAUUUCUUCCAAUUUCAACAGCAAGACCGCCAGAGAGCAAGACGCGCUUUAAUGGACUACCUUGUGGAUGUUAGAAGAACUGCAGAUGCCAUUAAAUUGUGGAGCAUUGAUUGUGUCAGUUCUCAUUGGUUCCAAAAAGUAACUGUUUCUAUGAUCAUUAAGAAAGCAUGCAAGUGCCUUUUUCCAUUGGGAACAGAGACAAUGUGCUGAACAAGUGUGUUGCUGAAGGAGAGAUUUGUGACAAUGAAGUGAUUAUCCAACAAAGGAGAAGGAAUUAGAGUUAAUUACUGGAACAAUCGAUAAAUUCGUCGUCUUCACCUUGCAACAUUAUGCAGUUAAUGUUUGCUUUAACAAUGGGAGGCAAUCGGAAGGUAAUUUGGAAGCAUCUGAAACAACAAACUGCCUGCAGUUGUAUCCCUCCUAGGUUUGGUUUCCUCAUCACGCUGGUAGACUUUAAAACGUUACUUUCUACAAUUAAUUAAGGUUAUCCAAUAAAUGAGAGAGAAUUAAUGUUCAGUUUGGUUACACUGAAACAGCCAAUGUCUACAUGGGUGUGGUCUUUCCUGGAUUAUGUUUUUGAUUUGCUGUUUCUUCUUCACCUUGUAGCAUCAUGCAGUUAAUUUUCAACCCAUGAGUGAGAGCAACUGGAUAUUUAAAUUCCACUGAAAUAACAAGUUCUCUGCUACGCUGUCCCUCCUGGAGUUGGUUUGCUUUUCACACCUGUAAACUUUGGAAUUUGACGUUCUACAAUUAAUUAAGGUGAGAAUACUUGAUAUA